rnacentral:tRNA from 1 species
GCACUGCACGGGCCGGCUGGUGCAGGGUGGGCGCGGCACCCGCCCGGAGUCGCGGUUCGACGCCGAGGCGGUGUUC